rnacentral:rRNA from 1 species
AGUGCAUGUGGUGGAUGCCUUGGCAGUCAGAGGCGAUGAAAGACGUGAUAGCCUGCGAAAAGCUCCGGGGAGGCGGCAAAUAUCCUUUGAUCCGGAGAUGUCUGAAUGGGGGAACCCACCUACUUUAAGGUAGGUAUUGCAACAUGAAUACAUAGUGUUGCAAGGCGAACGAGGGGAAGUGAAACAUCUCAGUACCCUUAGGAAAAGAAAUCAAUUGAGAUUCCCUCAGUAGCGGCGAGCGAACGGGGAUCAGCCCAUUAAGUUAUGUGUGUUUUAGUGGAACGCUCUGGGAAGUGCGAACGUAGAGGGUGAUAUUCCCGUACACGAAAGGGCACACAUAAUGAUGACGAGUAGGGCGAGGCACGUGAAACCUUGUCUGAAUAUGGGGGGACCAUCCUCCAAGGCUAAAUACUCCUGACUGACCGAUAGUGAACCAGUACCGUGAGGGAAAGGCGAAAAGAACCCCUGUGAGGGGAGUGAAAUAGAUCCUGAAACCGCAUGCAUACAAGCAGUGGGAGCACCUUCGUGGUGUGACUGCGUACCUUUUGUAUAAUGGGUCAGCGACUUAUAUUCAGUAGCGAGGUUAACCGUAUAGGGGAGCCGUAGAGAAAUCGAGUCUUAAUAGGGCGUUUAGUUGCUGGGUAUAGACCCGAAACCAGGCGAUCUAUCCAUGAGCAGGUUGAAGGUUGGGUAACACUAACUGGAGGACCGAACCCACUGUCGUUGAAAAGCCAGGGGAUGACUUGUGGAUAGGGGUGAAAGGCUAAUCAAGCCUGGUGAUAGCUGGUUCUCCCCGAAAGCUAUUUAGGUAGCGCCUCGGACGAAUACCAUAGGGGGUAGAGCACUGUUUCGGCUAGGGGGUCAUCCCGACUUACCAAACCGAUGCAAACUCCGAAUACCUAUGAGUACUAUCCGGGAGACAGACUGCGGGUGCUAACGUCCGUAGUCAAGAGGAAAACAAUCCAGACCGCCAGCUAAGGCCCCAAAAUCAUAGUUAAGUGGGAAACGAUGUGGGAAGGCAUAGACAGCUAGGAGGUUGGCUUAGAAGCAGCCACCCUUUAAAGAAAGCGUAAUAGCUCACUAGUCGAGUCGGCCUGCGCGGAAGAUGUAACGGGGCUAAAACUAUGUGCCGAAGCUGCGGAUGUAUACUUUGUAUACGUGGUAGGGGAGCGUUCUGUAAGCCGAUGAAGGUGUGUUGAGAAGCAUGCUGGAGGUAUCAGAAGUGCGAAUGCUGACGUGAGUAACGACAAAACGGGUGAAAAACCCGUUCGCCGAAAGACCAAGGGUUCCAGUCCAACGUUAAUCGGGGCUGGGUGAGUCGACCCCUAAGGCGAGGCCGAAAGGCGUAGUCGAUGGGAAAAUGGUUAAUAUUCCAUUACUUCUGUGUAAUGCGAUGAGAGGACGGAGAAGGCUAAAUCAGCCUGGCGUUGGUUGUCCAGGUGAAAGGAUGUAGGCAUGUAUCUUAGGCAAAUCCGGGGUACUCUAUGCUGAGAUCUGAUAGCAAGCUGUACUUGUACAGCGAAGUGGUUGAUGCCAUGCUUCCAGGAAAAGUCUCUAAGCUUCAGUUACACAGGAAUCGUACCCGAAACCGACACAGGUGGUCAGGUCGAGUAGACCAAGGCGCUUGAGAGAACUCUGCUGAAGGAACUAGGCAAAAUGGUACCGUAACUUCGGGAGAAGGUACGCUGUUGUUGGUGAUGGAACUCGCUUCCUGAGCUGACGACAGCCGCAGAAACCAGGCCGCUGCAACUGUUUAUUAAAAACAUAGCACUCUGCAAACACGAAAGUGGACGUAUAGGGUGUGAUGCCUGCCCGGUGCUGGAAGGUUAAUUGAUGGGGUUAGCGUAAGCGAAGCUCUUGAUCGAAGCCCCAGUAAACGGCGGCCGUAACUAUAACGGUCCUAAGGUAGCGAAAUUCCUUGUCGGGUAAGUUCCGACCUGCACGAAUGGCAUAAUGAUGGCGGCGCUGUCUCCAGCAGAGGCUCAGUGAAAUCGAAAUCGCUGU